rnacentral:rRNA from 1 species
UUUGAUGGUGGCUCAGAUUGAACGCUGGCGGCAGGCCUAACACAUGCAAGUCGAGCGGUAACAGAAAUUAGCUUGCUAAUUUGCUGACGAGCGGCGGACGGGUGAGUAAUGCCUGGGAAUAUACCCUGAUGUGGGGGAUAACUAUUGGAAACGAUAGCUAAUACCGCAUAAUCUCUUCGGAGCAAAGAGGGGGACCUUCGGGCCUCUCGCGUCAGGAUUAGCCCAGGUGGGAUUAGCUAGUUGGUGGGGUAAUGGCUCACCAAGGCGACGAUCCCUAGCUGGUCUGAGAGGAUGAUCAGCCACACUGGAACUGAGACACGGUCCAGACUCCUACGGGAGGCAGCAGUGGGGAAUAUUGCACAAUGGGGGAAACCCUGAUGCAGCCAUGCCGCGUGUAUGAAGAAGGCCUUCGGGUUGUAAAGUACUUUCAGUUGUGAGGAAGGCGUUGGAGUU